GGCGGCGUGCCUAAUACAUGCAAGUCGAACGAGUUCUCGUUGAUGAUCGGUGCUUGCACCGAGAUUCAACAUGGAACGAGUGGCGGACGGGUGAGUAACACGUGGGUAACCUGCCCUUAAGUGGGGGAUAACAUUUGGAAACAGAUGCUAAUACCGCAUAGAUCCAAGAACCGCAUGGUUCUUGGCUGAAAGAUGGCGUAAGCUAUCGCUUUUGGAUGGACCCGCGGCGUAUUAGCUAGUUGGUGAGGUAAUGGCUCACCAAGGCGAUGAUACGUAGCCGAACUGAGAGGUUGAUCGGCCACAUUGGGACUGAGACACGGCCCAAACUCCUACGGGAGGCAGCAGUAGGGAAUCUUCCACAAUGGACGCAAGUCUGAUGGAGCAACGCCGCGUGAGUGAAGAAGGCUUUCGGGUCGUAAAACUCUGUUGUUGGAGAAGAAUGGUCGGCAGAGUAACUGUUGUCGGCGUGACGGUAUCCAACCAGAAAGCCACGGCUAACUACGUGCCAGCAGCCGCGGUAAUACGUAGGUGGCAAGCGUUAUCCGGAUUUAUUGGGCGUAAAGCGAGCGCAGGCGGUUUUUUAAGUCUGAUGUGAAAGCCCUCGGCUUAACCGAGGAAGCGCAUCGGAAACUGGGAAACUUGAGUGCAGAAGAGGACAGUGGAACUCCAUGUGUAGCGGUGAAAUGCGUAGAUAUAUGGAAGAACACCAGUGGCGAAGGCGGCUGUCUGGUCUGUAACUGACGCUGAGGCUCGAAAGCAUGGGUAGCGAACAGGAUUAGAUACCCUGGUAGUCCAUGCCGUAAACGAUGAAUGCUAGGUGUUGGAGGGUUUCCGCCCUUCAGUGCCGCAGCUAACGCAUUAAGCAUUCCGCCUGGGGAGUACGACCGCAAGGUUGAAACUCAAAGGAAUUGACGGGGGCCCGCACAAGCGGUGGAGCAUGUGGUUUAAUUCGAAGCAACGCGAAGAACCUUACCAGGUCUUGACAUCUUUUGAUCACCUGAGAGAUCAGGUUUCCCCUUCGGGGGCAAAAUGACAGGUGGUGCAUGGUUGUCGUCAGCUCGUGUCGUGAGAUGUUGGGUUAAGUCCCGCAACGAGCGCAACCCUUAUGACUAGUUGCCAGCAUUUAGUUGGGCACUCUAGUAAGACUGCCGGUGACAAACCGGAGGAAGGUGGGGAUGACGUCAAAUCAUCAUGCCCCUUAUGACCUGGGCUACACACGUGCUACAAUGGAUGGUACAACGAGUUGCGAGACCGCGAGGUCAAGCUAAUCUCUUAAAGCCAUUCUCAGUUCGGACUGUAGGCUGCAACUCGCCUACACGAAGUCGGAAUCGCUAGUAAUCGCGGAUCAGCACGCCGCGGUGAAUACGUUCCCGGGCCUUGUACACACCGCCCGUCACACCAUGAGAGUUUGUAACACCCGAAGCCGGUGGCGUAACCCUUUUAGGGAGCGAGCCGUCUAAGGUGGGACAAAUG
rnacentral:rRNA from 2 species